UAGAAACCGUAUCAUAUUCACUCUGUCAGAUAAUUCUUUGAGAUGAAAACUAUUAUGGACUUCAAAUGAAUUCGUCUUACAUGAAGUUCCGACAUGUAGAAUUUGUUUCUCUCGAUCAAAAACGGCGAUCAUUUUGUCAUUGUUUACUGCUAUGGAUGCAUCGUAUUCAUAUACAUAUGUAUAGUCUUUCAUGUGUUUAAAGGGCAACAGAGACUCAAGUUUUUUGUCCCCAUGCUCAUCAAAUAUCAACAACUGGUAACUCCAUGGUUGACCAUGGCUUUCUCGCAAUCUCGUGAAGAGGUAAAGGUUAUCUUCGGCAUCGAUAUCCAUCGCAACAACCUCGCAACGUGGCAAAUCCUCUUGUUUGGAAGGAUCAAAUAUUGUACGGGAUUCUCCUGAGGGUUUCAAUAUUUGUACAGAACCAACUCUCGCUGUUUCCGCAACAAUUUCUCUUUUGCUAUUUACAACACAACGAGAUUCAUCAAUACUUUUGGAAAAUGUGUAACCCAGGUGAAACGGACAAAGAAUAGACACAAAUAUCGUGAUUAUUCGCAUCACGGGGAGAGUUCGUUUCAACGUGAAUACGAUAGAAGAUUUCGACAGGAAAACCGACAUUCCACGUCUUCAAGUGGUUGGCACAAGCGUAGCUAUGAUCGUCACUCGCGGCGUGAUAAAAGAUGAUGUCAUUUCAUUUCUGGAAUCGACUGGAAAAGACUGAAGAAGCUGCCUCAUGUUGGUACAGUCCAGAUCCAAAAUGGGUUUUUAUAUUUAACUGUGCAACUUCAAAUGUAUUGGAGUCAAAAUAGGUGGGUGAGAAUUGAGGGGGUGGGUGAGGCAUUGUGUGUGAGGAGACCACUGGAGGUAUUUUACAAUUCAAUUAUAGAAACAUUGUCAAUGGUAUUGUAUUUUUAUUUAAAAAUUGGCUAUAGUCUAUUUUAUUAUUUCCAGCUAUAGUUUUUUGUAUACAUUCUUGUUCCAACAUCUGGUAAGCAGAA